CACCAGGAUUCAGAUCACAGUCUCAAGUCUUCUCCGUGGACCAAGAGAGGAAACUGCAGGCUUAUAUUAUGUGCACAUUUGCAUAUGAAGUGGCCAGCAGAUGUGGCUGCAAAUAUCCAGAUGGAUGGGAUGCCAGGAGGAUGAUGGGAAAGGACUGGCUCACCUCCUUCCUUGAACACAACAAUAUAUCGUCUGUUCACCGUCCUCAAGACACCAGCAUGUCCCGCUCCACCAGCUUCAGUAAAACACGUUCGGUGCUCUUUGUGUGUCUGCUAACACUUACAUUUAAAGAGAUUUAAAAUCGAUCGUCAUCAGUUGACAGUUGUCUGUCUUUCUUCACGGAAAACGCUAACAAGUACGAGGAUCAGAGCAUCAUGAAGAAGAGACAGAGUGUAUUAAAGGACAAAGAGAACAUGAGAGAUCUAGAACCCUGCAGAACCAAACACACUGUUCACUCUUCAUCUUCUUUAUCAAUGAGGCUGAAGAACCAUUAGGUUAUAAAGCAGUUCAAUUGUUUACUUUCUGUAGAUUGGAGAGAAAAAAAUACGCACUUCUCACA